rnacentral:rRNA from 1 species
UUGUUGGUAAGGUAAAAGCUUACCAAGGCCUCGAUCAGUAGCUGGUCUGAGAGGACGACCAGCCACACUGGGACUGAGACACGGCCCAGACUCCUACGGGAGGCAGCAGUGGGGAAUUUUGGACAAUGGGGGCAACCCUGAUCCAGCCAUGCCGCGUGAGUGAAGAAGGCCUUCGGGUUGUAAAGCUCUUUCAGCCGGAACGAAACGGUUACGGUUAACACCCGUGACUACUGACGGUACCGGAAGAAGAAGCACCGGCUAACUACGUGCCAGCAGCCGCGGUAAUACGUAGGGUGCGAGCGUUAAUCGGAAUUACUGGGCGUAAAGCGUGCGCAGGUGGUUUUGUAAGUCAGAUGUGAAAGCCCCGGGCUCAACCUGGGAACUGCGUUUGAAACUACAAGACUAGAGUGUGGCAGAGGGGGGUGGAAUUCCGCGUGUAGCAGUGAAAUGCGAAGAGAUGUGGAGGAACACCGAUGGCGAAGGCAGCCCCCUGGGUCAACACUGACGCUCAGGCACGAAAGCAUGGGGAGCAAACAGGAUUAGAUACCCUGGUAGUCCAUGCCCUAAACGAUGUCAACUAGUUGUCGGGCCUUUACGGGCUUGGUAACGUAGCUAACGCGUGAAGUUGACCGCCUGGGGAGUACGAUCGCAAGAUUAAAACUCAAAUGAAUUGACGGGGACCCGCACAAGCGGUGGAUUAUGUGGAUUAAUUCGAUGCAACGCGAAAAACCUUACCUACCCUUGACAUGUAUCGAAGCCCGCAGAAAAGCGGGGGUGCCCGAAAGGGAACGAUAACACAGGUGCUGCAUGGCUGUCGUCAGCUCGUGUCGUGAGAUGUUGGGUUAAGUCCCGCAACGAGCGCAACCCUUGUCAUUAAUUGCCAUCAUUUAGUUGGGCACUUUAAUGAGACUGCCGG